AACGAACGCUGGCGGCAGGCCUAACACAUGCAAGUCGAGCGCCCUGCAAGGGGAGCGGCGGACGGGUGAGUAACGCGUGGGAAUUUUUCCUUGGAGUACGGAACAACCGAGGGAAACGUUACGGCUAAUACCGUAUGAUGCCGAGAGGCCAAAGAUUUAUCGCUCUGGGGUGGAGCCCGCGUCAGAUUAGGUAGUUGGUGGGGUAAA
rnacentral:rRNA from 1 species